rnacentral:ncRNA from 1 species
CGUUACAACGUUCAAAUAUCGCUUUAUUUGUCUUGUUUAAGUAGUAUUCGUGACUUGUGUAUAAGUUUGUGAUUUCCUUAAUCCGUAGUUUUCACUUACCCGAUAACUAAUUUCGCAUAAUGCAUAUUAUGUUAAAUGACAUAUAUGAUAGCGUAACGUCUUUUGAGCCGAUUUUCA